rnacentral:rRNA from 1 species
AGAUUAAGCCAUGCAUGUCUCAGUGCAGGCCUUAAUACGGUGAAACCGCGAAUGGCUCAUUAAAUCAGCUAUGGUUUAUUGGAUCGUACCCGUUAAAUGGAUAACUGUAAUAACUCUAGAGCUAAUACAUGCCAUGAUGCCCUGACCCUCGCUAGCUGCCACGGUGGCUUGUUGGGGGAUGGGUGCACUUAUUAGAUCAGAAGCCAACCAGCACAUGCGUCUGCGCUCUUUUUGGGGCGAGGGCGUGUGGGCUGUAGUACUUCUGGUGACUCUGGAUAAUUGUUACAGAUCGCAGUCGGCCUUGAGUCGGCGACGGGUCCUUCAAAUGUCUGCCCUAUCAACUUUCGAUGGUAGGUGACCUGCCUACCAUGGUGAUAACGGGUAACGGGGAAUCAGGGUUCGAUUCCGGAGAGGGAGCCUGAGAAACGGCUACCACUUCCAAGGGAGGCAGCAGGCGCGCAAAUUACCCACUCCCAGUACGGGGAGGUGGUGACGAAAAAUACCGAUGCGGGACUCAAUUUUGAGGCUCCGUAAUCGGAAUGAGUGGAAUCUAAAUCCUUUCACGAGGAUCAAUUGGAGGGCAAGUCUGGUGCCARCAGCCGCGGUAACUCCAGCUCNAAUAGCGUAUAUUAAAGUUGCUGCAGUUAAAAARCYYCGUAGCUUGAYCYCGGUGGCANUNGUGCUGCANGAGUAUUCAGGCGGUAAUNUUUYNCCCAANAYNCCANGUAANCNNNNGGUAAUYCCCCCGYNNCUGNUGCCUNAVCCNNRGGCNNCCUNAUGCUGCGCCCUUNUGCGUUNNNGGGCUNGCUCUUUGAACAAAUUUGAGUGCUCAAAUCAGGCCGAUGUUGCCUGAAAAGUUUUGCAUGGAAUAAUGGAAUAGGACUUCGGUUCUAUUUCGUUGGUUUUCGGAUCCGAAGUAAUGAUCAAAAGAGACAGGCGGGGACGUUUGUACGGCUGCGCUAGAGGUGAAAUUCAUGGACCGUAGCCAGACAAACUAAAGCGAAAGCAUUCGUCAAGCAUGUUUUCAUUGGCCAUGAGCGAAAGUCAGAGGCUCGAAGACGAUCAGAUACCGUCCUAGUUCUGACCAUAAACGAUGCCAACUGACGAUCCGUGGUGGUAGUUUUUAUACCUUCCCCACGGGCAGUCCCCGGGAAACCUUUAAGUCUUUGGGUUCCGGGGGAAGUAUGGUUGCAAAGCUGAAACUUAAAGGAAUUGACGGAAGGGCACCACCAGGAGUGGAGCCUGCGGCUUAAUUUGACUCAACACGGGAAAACUCACCCGGGCCGGACACUAUGAGGAUUGACAGAUUGAUAGCUCCUUCCUGAAUUGGUGGUUGGUGGUGCAUUGCCGUUCUUAGUUGGUGGAGCGAUUUGUCUGGUUAAUUCCGAUAACGAACGAGACUCCAGCCUGCUAA